GGCCGGUUGGCGUAAUGGCAACGCGUCAGUUUCCGGAGACGGAAUUUGCUGAAGAUUGCGGGUUCGAGUCCCGUGCUGGUCG